GGGCCUUGCGGCAGCUACACAUGCAGUCGAGCGGAACGAGUUAUCUGAACCUUCGGGGGACGAUAACGGCGUCGAGCGGCGGACGGGUGAGUAAUGCCUAGGAAAUUGCCCUGAUGUGGGGGAUAACCAUUGGAAACGAUGGCUAAUACCGCAUAAUGCCUACGGGCCAAAGAGGGGGACCUUCGGGCCUCUCGCGUCAGGAUAUGCCUAGGUGGGAUUAGCUAGUUGGUGAGGUAAUGGCUCACCAAGGCGACGAUCCCUAGCUGGUCUGAGAGGAUGAUCAGCCACACUGGAACUGAGACACGGUCCAGACUCCUACGGGAGGCAGCAGUGGGGAAUAUUGCACAAUGGGCGCAAGCCUGAUGCAGCCAUGCCGCGUGUGUGAAGAAGGCCUUCGGGUUGUAAAGCACUUUCAGUCGUGAGGAAGGUAGUGUAGUUAAUAGCUGCAUUAUUUGACGUUAGCGACAGAAGAAGCACCGGCUAACUCCGUGCCAGCAGCCGCGGUAAUACGGAGGGUGCGAGCGUUAAUCGGAAUUACUGGGCGUAAAGCGCAUGCAGGUGGUUUGUUAAGUCAGAUGUGAAAGCCCGGGGCUCAACCUCGGAAUAGCAUUUGAAACUGGCAGACUAGAGUACUGUAGAGGGGGGUAGAAUUUCAGGUGUAGCGGUGAAAUGCGUAGAGAUCUGAAGGAAUACCGGUGGCGAAGGCGGCCCCCUGGACAGAUACUGACACUCAGAUGCGAAAGCGUGGGGAGCAAACAGGAUUAGAUACCCUGGUAGUCCACGCCGUAAACGAUGUCUACUUGGAGGUUGUGGCCUUGAGCCGUGGCUUUCGGAGCUAACGCGUUAAGUAGACCGCCUGGGGAGUACGGUCGCAAGAUUAAAACUCAAAUGAAUUGACGGGGGCCCGCACAAGCGGUGGAGCAUGUGGUUUAAUUCGAUGCAACGCGAAGAACCUUACCUACUCUUGACAUCCAGAAAAAUUUUCCAAAAAUGAAUUGGUG
rnacentral:rRNA from 1 species